UGAAUAAUAAACUAAAGAGUUAUCUAUGUUUACCAGCUGAUCGUGAUCUCGUGAAAAUCAAGAUAGAAGAAGCAAGGAUGGAGCUUAAUGAUCUAGAAAAGAAGAUUUUUGAGAACGUAGAAAAAUAUUAUGUGUAGUUUAUCUGUAUUUCAGUGUCGGUCAGUUUAUUUGUCAUGUAAUGCUUACAUGUUGCUCAUAAACUUUCAAAAUAGUUUUUUAAGAGAAGUAAAUAUGUAUGAGUAAGUUUAAUGAAAUAUAUUUACUUCUGGAUUUUAUCUCCACUAUAGAUACAAUAGUAAUUAAAUUCUUCUUCAUUCUGUUUGUUCUUUUAUACAAUCCAGAGUUUGCUUGGAAUACACUAUGAUGUUCAGUAGUAGAUAAUGUAAGAUAAAGAAAUAAAUAAAUAAAGAUAUUUGUUUAGAUUUUGACAUAGCCAUCUUUUAUUUCACGAUAAAUGAAGUAUUUAUUUUGAUGAGUUUCACUAGGUUUCAUCCAGAAUCAUGAGAACAGUAUAAUGGUUAGGAUCUUGAUAACUUAAUAAAUUAAGAUACAUUUUUAUAUUUAUCAAAAAAACUGUCCGAAAUCUCUCUGAAGUAACAUUUUAGUUUACAUGUAGCGUUUGUGUUUAAGUGAAACAUCAAAUACAGGCUUUUUAAAUAUUAUAUAUAACAGUGAAAAGUAAAUACAUCACUAAAUUAUGGAGAAUUAUUAUUUUAUAUGAUCAACCUUAUAAAUGUAAGAAUCCAGUGUUUGAUAGGUCAGGGUAGUUACAUCAACUGUAUAAAUGUAAGAAUCCACUGUUUGAUAGGUCAGGGUAGUUACAUCAACUGUAUAAAUGUAAGAAUCCACUGUUUGAUAGGUCAGGGUAGUUACAUCAACCUUAUGAAUGUAAGAAUCCAGUGUUUGAUAGGUCAGGGUAGUUACACCUUAUAAAUGUAAGAAUCCAGUGUUUGAUAGGUCAGGGUAGUUACACCUUAUAAAUGUAAGAAUCCAGUGUUUGAUAAGUCAGGGUAGUUACAUCAACCUUAUAAAUGUAAGAAUUCAGUGUUUGAUAGGUCAGGGUAGUUACAUCAACCUUAUGAAUGUAAGAAUCCACUGUUUGAUAGGUCAGGGUAGUUACAUCAACCUUAUGAAUGUAAGAAUCCACUGUUUGAUAGGUCAGGGUAGUUACAUCAACCUUAUGAAUGUAAGAAUCCACUGUUUGAGAGGUCAGGGUAGUUACAUCAACCUUAUGAAUGUAAGAAUCCAGUAUUUGAUAGGUCAGGGUAGUUACACCUUAUAAAUGUAAGAAUCCAGUGUUUGAUAGGUCAGGGUAGUUACUUCAACUUCUAAAUGUAAGAAUCCACUGUUUGAUAGGUCAGGGUAGUUACAUCAACUGUAUAAAUGUAAGAAUCGACAGUUUUAUUUAUGUGAGAAUGAUCUAAUGUUACCUUAACCUAAUAAAUUGUUGUUUCUUAGAUGAAGGUUUCAUCAACCUAUUAAACUAGGCCUAGCAUGCCAAACUAUGGAUCCAAUGUUCAGUGGUUUGUGCUUCAUUACUGCCAAAAAAAAAGAAAAAUCAAGCUCCACAUUUAUAAGAAUGACAUUCAAAUCCCUCUGUUUGAUUGGAGUAGCCCAAGAGUUGUUGGUGGUUGAUUAACUGCCUUCCUUCAAGUCUAUCACAUCAAAAAUAGGAACAAGUUGCACUCAAAUAGUUUUGUAGAAAAUUAAUAAAGAACCACAAGAUUAUCGAAUUGUUGGUUUAUGCAUCAAAAUUACAUCUUAAUACACAGAAACAAACUUGAUUCUUAGAGGAUAUGUCCUUAAAAAAAUCAGAGAAGGAUCUGAGUAUCAUUUAUUAUUAUGAACUUGUAAGUCAGUAUAUAUAUAUUUUCUUACAUUUACACUUUUUCUGGUUCACUUUACGGGGUAUUAAGGUUUAUUUUUACCUAACUUGUGUCAACUUGUGAAUAACUUUUCAGAAUAAACACAGAAUUUGAAGAUUUGUAUUGUGUAAAUCAUUAUUUUUCCCUAAUGUGAACACUUGCAUGCAGCGAUUUUACAGUAAAUGUAAGUAACACUAAGCACUUUCCUGCCUUUAGAAUACUUAGUUUUUUGCAAAUAUCAAACUAAAUAAAUAACUUUACGUCACUUACUACUAUUAAAAGUGCAGGAGACCCGAAUGUGUGUAGGUGGACAGAUUGUAGCUAUGGUUGGAUUUUUCUAUCAUUAUCAGGAUUGUUAAAGUGCAGGAGACCCGAAUGUGUGUAGAUGAACAGAUUGUAGCUGUGGUUGGAUUUUUCUAUCAUUAUCAGGAUUGUUAAAGUGCAGGAGACCUGAAUGUGUGUAGAUGAACAGUUUGUAGCUGUAGUUGGGUUGUUUCUAUCAUUAUUAGUACAUUAUCAGGAUUUCCCAAAUGCGGGAUAUCUGAAUGGGUGUAGCGGAGCAGAUUGUAUCAUCCUAGUUUUAUUAGUAUCAGGAGAAAUGAGUUUGUAAAUUUUAUAGAAGUUAUUAUGAUGUUUUGUAAGUGUUUAUUAUAAUUAAAUAGGGUUUCUUUGAGAAUAGACAUAACCUUACUAUAUAUUUAUCUGACAAAAAAUGUAACUAUAUAUUGAAUAUGUAAUGUAAAGUUGAUAAGAAGUCAAUCUAAGCUUUAAAAGUGUUUGGAUAUCAAACCAGUGAAGGAUUAUGUUUUGAAACAUGUUUGCUUAUUUGCAAAUUUUAUGCUAUGCAAAAUAAAGUUGUGAUAUUGCCUGUUUUUUCUGACUGUAUUCAUCAUUCAAUUUAAACACCCCAAAAUAAUGCAAAUGUCUAGCUAUAGCUCAAAAGAUUUUUUUAAAAUUUAAAUUGUGGAAUAAACAGGGUUUCUAACAUAUAAGACGUUAAAAAACAGUAUUCAGAAGAAAAAAAAUGAAUGUGAAAAAUGUUAUAAAUUCAGUUAGUCGAAAAAAUAUCACACUAAACAUUGAAAUUUUAAGUAUAUCAAAUAUAUGUUUGGGUUUAUUGAGUGAAUCGAAGUUGAUAGGAAUUCUUCAUUGUCAUAUUGUAGAGAUGAUUCUCUCACUGACCAUAAAUAAAUAAUAAAUGUGUUUAUACGUAAUAUUACACUAAACUUGUAAUGAUAAGAAUAAUAUUAUUUUUUUAAUAUAGUUUCACUGAUGAUAAAUCGCAUUUGUUCAAAAUAUGAAAUUUGAACAACAUGAUAUUAGUCGUAUUUCAUAUAGCUUGAUGCGUUAAUAUAUGUUUUCAUAUAUUUUAUUGUUUUUGUUUGUUGUACGGUGGCGCUGAAUACCUUUAUGGUAGUUUAUGCCUAUUAAAUAUACAUAAUGUCAAUGAAAAUCUAAUUGUGUGGUACGACAGAUCUUGCGCUUCGAAGUGUUGAUUCGCGCUCACUACCGUAACAAUUCUCUUAUCCGUUUGAAUAACUUUAGAGGGUGGACAUGUUUAGAAUCGGCAGUAAGAAGAAUGUGAACAAGGAGUAUACCUGCACAAUCAGGCUUAUCGAUGAUAACGAAGUUAUCCAAUGCGAAUUCCGGAGGGACCAUAAGGGACAGUAUCUCGUGGAUUAUGUAUGUGAUUCUUUAAACCUUGUGGAAAAAGACUAUUUCGGACUUCGUUAUGUUGACUUUAACAAG
rnacentral:lncRNA from 1 species